UACGUAGGGUGCGAGCGUUAAUCGGAAUUACUGGGCGUAAAGCGUGCGCAGGCGGUUCGCUGUGUCCUGUGUGAAAGCCCCGGGCUUAACCUGGGAAUGGCAUGGGAAACUGGCGGGCUGGAGUGUGGCAGAGGGGGGUGGAAGUUCCGCGUGUAGCAGUGAAAUGCGUAGAGAUGCGGAGGAACACCGAUGGCGAAGGCAGCCCCCUGGGCUAACACUGACGCUCAGGCACGAAAGCGUGGGGAGCAAACAGG
rnacentral:rRNA from 1 species